rnacentral:lncRNA from 1 species
AGAUGCUUUGGCCGAGUGGUUAAGGCGUGUUCCUGCUAAGUACAUGGGUCUUCCCCGCGAGAAUUCGAAUCUUUCAGGCGUCGAAACAAUUUUUUGUCAAUUGUAUUAUCCAAUAUUACCAAAAUGGCCUUCCCCUCUGACUGCAAACUGGAAACAAGCUUAUAUGUUUGAGAACGUAAUUAAACAUGAUUUCUUUUCUUUUAACUAUACAAAGAGGUAAAAUAAUGUCAUAUGUAAUAUAUUAUUUUAUUACAUUUUAUGAAAUAUGAAUUAUUUUUAUAAUUUUAUUUAUAAAAUUGAAUAACUUCUCUAUUUAAUAUUAACAUAUUUCCAUCCUUCGAAAGCACUUUUUAAAGAGAAACAUCUUAUCUAUUUUCAUAAGAUCCUCACUUACUUUUUGGACACACACUAUUUGACUUAAUAACCACAUGAGCACAUAAGGAUCCUAUUUAUUAACUAUUACUUUUAGUCUCAACAAUUACGUCCCAUUCGAAGUGACUAAAAAAAGUCACAUCGUCACCUUAUCUAGAUUUAUGACAACAAACCACUUGACCAUUUGCCCACUUGCCCUCUACUUGCCUAUGGAAGGUGACACAUAGCAGCUUUGGAUUAUACCUAAGUAUAUAUGAACCCUUAGUUUUGACUAAAGAAAGGUCUCUUUCACUAUGACUCUCUUUUCUCCCUUUUUUAAUAUCCGAUUCAAUCAUCACCAUAACUUAAACACUAGUUUUAACCUAUCUAAUCACUAAUCAGGCUCGUUUACUAAGAAAAGAAACAUAUAACAUUAAUAUUAUUAACAAAUAAUAACUCAACCGAAAAUCCAAAACCUAAAUAUUGAGCUAAAAAAGAAGAGAACAAUAUAUCACCUCGAUGGUCGGUGGUAGUAGGGACGGUGGAAGAAGCAGAUUUGGCAACAAAACAAGUAGCAACCAUGGCUGAAGGCUAAAGCAGAUAUGGCACAAAAAGUGGAAGGCUAAGGGUAAAGGAGUGGGGAGAAAAGAUUAUAUGAAUUGUAUUUCUUACCUAUUAUUUUCUUUGAAUUUUUUAAAACUUCUAUCAUAUUAUCAAAAUUAUUAUUCAUUGGUUCAUUCACAAGUAAGGGAUACAAAUUGACUUCGUAUUCAUCUGUUGGAUGUCCCAAUUCACGUCCAAACUAAUAAAAAGUGAACCAAACCAUAGCUCUGGUUCUCUCCAAGCUAUCCGCCGAGAUGUAGAAUUGGGUAAAAAAGUUAAUUAGCAAAAUAUAAGCAUUAAAAAAUUUAAAAUUUUGAAAAUUAUUUUCAAAAUGUUAGCAUUGUAAUUGUUUGAGGAAAAAAAUUAGGUUAUUGGAAUUUUAUAAAUUUAAAAAUAAUUAUAAAAGAUGGAUAAUUUUAUUGAAAAUAAAUAAUAUAAAAUAUUCAAUAUGAAAAUCAUUAUAUUUGUAAAAAUUUAUAAAUAUUUUUAAUAAUUUAAAAUUUUUAAAAAUAUAUAUUAGGAUUAAAUAAAAAUAAUUUUUGAAGGUUUAAGUUUUUUUUAUUUUAUAGCAGGAUCAUGCAUAUUAAAUGAAAUAAAAUUACGAGAAAUUUUAAAAAAUAACCUUUUUAAGAGAAAUUUUAAAAAGGAUAUUGAGCUACUAAAAUCCCAUUACUCACAAAUUUUUAAAUUCUCCUAUAGAUUUAUCCAGACAAAUAAAUUCAAAUUUAAAAUUUUAAAAGCCUUGAUUCAUUUAUAGUAUUGUCUUUCAUCAAGGCUUUAUAACCAUCAUUUCACCAAUUCUCUUUGAUCACUUGCAUAUUUAACAUUCACAUAUUAUACUUAAUGUUCAAUAUUCAAAUUAGACUUUCAUGCAACAUAUUUCUCUUUUCCAUUUCUUCGCUUUCUAUUUUUACCAAUAAUAGUUUUAUGGUUUCAAUUUCAUUAUAUUUACUCUUUCAUGACAUUUAAUCACUUUGAUCUUAUAUCGCCAAAUUUUCACUUUAUACCAUGGGCUUAAAAAUUCUCAUACCAUUUCGUUAACUCGUUUCCACUUAACUUAAGUCAAGUUUUAUUGAUAAUAAAAAAUCAAAUUAACUAUCCAUUUUUCUACACUUAACCCAUGGUUUCAAUCUUUCAACACAUAUUUUACUUUAACUGUUUAUUACCUUCAUUAAUCAUAAUAAUAAUAAAGGAAAAGUUAGAAAGUCGAAGGAUAUUUACCUCUUGGAUGCACUAAGGCUUACAAUCAAGCUUCGCUACCCUUUCUUAGAACUUGAAUCCAUUAAUCAUUUGCCUACAACCUUUUUAUCCACCAAAUUUCUCUUUUCUUGAUACAAAAAUAUAAACAAAAUAUCAAUACACAUUCUCAAACAACUUUUUCUUACUAAAUAUCUCAAAUAAGCAAGUCGGAGAUGAAGAAAACAUGAUUUCUUACUUUGAUUGAAGGUUUCUCUCAUUAGCCAUAAAAAAACCCCUUAUUUGAAAGAAUGAAUUUGAUGGAGAAAUCAAGUUUAGAAAAGGAUUUUGUACUUGUUUUUAGUGAGAAUUCAAAGAUUUGAGUGAGAUUUAAGCUUGGAUUCGAAGAAAAAUGAAAAGGAAACAAACGAGAGAAGCUCUCUCUUCCAUCUCAUUGUGGAUAACAAAGAGCGAGGAAGGAAGAGCAAAAGAAUGCUCUCUUUCAACAAGAAGUGUGGUCCACAUUUAAUUUUUG